AUUGAACGCUGGCGGCAGGCCUAACACAUGCAAGUCGAACGAGUGGCGGACGGGUGAGUAAUGUCUGUGAAACUGCCUGAUGGAGGGGGAUAACUACUGGAAACGGUAGCUAAUACCGCAUACCAUCGGAUGUGCCCAGAUGGGAUUAGCUAGUAGGGGGGGUAAAGGCUCACCAAGGCGACUAUCCCUAGCUGGUCUGAGAGGAUGACCAGUCACACUGGGAAUGAGACACGGCCCAGACUCCGACGGGAGGCAGCAGUGGGGAAUCUUGGGCAAUGGACGAAAGCCUGACCGAGCAAUGCCGCGUGAGUGAAGAAGGUCUUCGGAUUGUAAAACUCUGUUGUUAGAGAAGCGGUAUCUAACCAGAAAGCACCGGCUAACUACGGGCCAGCAGCCGCGGUAAUUC
rnacentral:rRNA from 1 species